UUUGUUCGCCUGUAUUCACCUCUCUUUGACAGUUCAUUGAGUCUUACCUAAGUUUCUUCUCCUGCGUUCAACAGUGUUCCUCGCGUGUUCUUUCUUGGGAAUCUUCUGCUUUUGUCAAGUGGAUUUUUGUUGGAUUUUGUCAUUUGCACCCUGGACUUUGAUCAAAGGUGUAUUGCAGAAAUAUAGACCCCUUCAAAAUGGCAUGCUGAGAUCAAUUUCUGGGUACAGGGAGGAAGAGAAGAGGAGCUUUGAAUAGAAUUAUAAAGACAGACCUUCACAACGAGAGGGAGAGGGACUGAUAUAUUGCUCUGGUGAUGUAUUUUGGAACAAAGGCCUGGGCAGAAGCAAUCUGGCCGGUGGAGCCACAGGAUCAAUGUCACGCCCCUUAUCGCUAACCAAAGCACACUUUCAACUCACUGACAAAACGGCAAAGAACCCUCCGGGAGAACAUGCAGUCCACCAACAUCCAUCUUCACCGGGUACAUCAGAGCAUGAAGCAGCUGAAAGCUCUGAAGAGGAGCAAAGGCCAGAGCAAAGACAGACUGACUCCAAGAUAAGGACCACCAAACUGCUGCUCCCUUGAGCUUUUCUUUGGGAACCAUACAAGACUUAAACCAGGGUUACAGAUGCUGGUAAGACAAGCAGGAGAAAAAGAAGGCAUCUUGCUGGAACUGAGUCGUGUGUCAUCACUCCAGUGCGCCCUGUCUGCUGCUGAAUGUCACCGCUCACAUCUUCAACACCAUAAACAUUGAUGAGACUACGCUCAAAAUCAUUUCACAGUCUGCAGUUUCCAUCAAACCCCUCUCUGCAAUUUGCCCUCAGUCAUGUACAUCUCCAUCCAGAUAAUGUGUUAAUCUUCUCUACAGUGAAGACGGGGACUCUGGAGAUCACUUGUCUAUUUCAUGGGUAGUUUCCCACAGAAACUGAAAGGGAGGCACAGUAACUUAAUUAAUCUAAACAUUGUAAGUCAGAUUUCACAAGAAUCUUUUCUUGUGAUGAAACAUUAUCGCGGCAAUAGGUAGAUUUGCAGUGUGCGAUAUAGAUUAAAUUGAUUACACUGGAGUGUCUUAAUAGAACAAAAUCCAUCACAAAUCAAUCCAUCACUAGCUCUAUUGAAAGAAAAAUACAAAGUAGAAGGGGCAAGAAAGCAGCGGUAAAGUCGAUUGUAAUGUCAGUCUAACUAGUCUGGUGUCUGAAAAUAAAUAGGUGCAUAAGUGCAACAACACCCAUUUGGUCUUUGCAAAGCUUUUUUUGACCAUGAACUGAAUAAAACAUUGACGUAGUCUGACUGACGUUCCCCUUUAGUUUUAAAAGAGGUGUUAAUGAGUACAAAGAUGGCAGUUUCUGUAUUGGAAAUGUUUAAACUUCUGGCUAAGCUAGAAUUGGACCAAUGG